CACAUCCGGUCUCAUAUGAUAGCUGCUUUCACACUGAUUCCAAAAAUAUAUAGUUUCUAUAUACUUUUGUAUGUAGAAUGGGAGAUAAUUGGCCACUUCCGGUUUGUUGGAAGUCAUUUUUAGUCUUCAGUAAUCUGUUCAUGUAUCUAUAUGACAAAAUAUAUGGAUUCUGAGUACUUUUAUGUGAAAAAAUUGCAAAAAAAGCUACUUCCGGUUUUCUAAAGGUCACUUCCGGUAGCCAUUUUUCAAGGUCAUUUCUCAUUUAACCUUUUGUAUAAGGUCAAAUGUCUUUAUUAUGAACUUAAUUGAAGUUAUAAUCAAAUAACCUCAUAUCAAGACAUUCCAGGGGCACCAACUCCUAUAAGAUGCCAUUUAAUUGUAUAAGACUAAAUGUAGCAUAUCUUCAUUACAAUAAAGCAGACAUUUUGCACUUGUUCUUUUAUAUGUAUCUCUCAAAGUGUCAGAGAAAAUGCAAAAACAAGCAAAAGUCACUAUUGAGAACUUGACCUUGACCUUUGACCUUGACCUAAUUUUCUAAGUUAGGACCCAGGGGACUCAAAUAAAAACAUUCCAGGGUUAUACGGUUAACGGUUUAUGAGUUAAAAAAACAUACGAACAAAUUUAUUCCGUAAAGGUAGAUAACUCGUAUAAAAUUUCAUCGAAUCGCUUCGAUCCAAAUACGCCAAAAAUUACUGAGGAUAUAACGAACAAUUUGUAAAAAGAAUUUUGUCGAUAUCUUUUUUUGUUGCGAAGGAGAUGCACACAGAUGACAAACAGUGAAUAGGGAGAUAACUCUUACAAAGAAAAUGGUUCGGCUUAGCAGGGUAAAUUUAAAAGCGCAUAAACUAUACGAUACCAUAUUAGAAAUAUCUAAGUGACAUAUUGCGAAACAAACAUUUAUCGCAAGAACAAAAUUUGGCGG
rnacentral:lncRNA from 1 species